rnacentral:tRNA from 1 species
AGCUAUGGCUCAGUGGUAAAGCAUCCGCUUGGCACGCGGAAGGUCCCAGGUUCAAUUCCUGCCAUCGCUG